rnacentral:tRNA from 1 species
UCCCUGGUGGUCCAGUGGUUAAGGCUUUGCCUUCUAAAGCAGGGAGUCUGGGUUCAAUCCCAGGUCAGGGAG